rnacentral:rRNA from 1 species
AAUAGAUACCCUGGUAGUCCACGCCGUAAACGGUGGGUACUAGGUGUGGGUUUCCUUCCUUGGGAUCCGUGCCGUAGCUAACGCAUUAAGUACCCCGCCUGGGGAGUACGGCCGCAAGGCUAAAACUCAAAGGAAUUGACGGGGGGCCCGCACAGGCGGCGGAGCAUGUGGAUUAAUUCGAUGCAACGCGAAGAACCUUACCUGGGUUUGACAUGCACAGGACGCUGGUAGAGAUAUCAGUUCCCUUGUGGUCUGUGUGCAGGUGGUGCAUGGCUGUCGUCAGCUCGUGUCGUGAGAUGUUGGGUUAAGUCCCGCAACGAGCGCAACCCUUGUCUCAUGUUGCCAGCGGGUUAUGCCGGGGACUCGUGAGAGACUGGCCGGGGUCAACUCGGAGGAAGGUGGGGAUGACGUCAAGUCAUCAUGCCCCUUAUGUCCAGGGCUUCACACAUGCUACAAUGGCCGGUACAAAGGGCUGCGAUGCCGUGAGGUUAAGCGAAUCCUUUAAAGCCGGUCUCAGUUCGGAUCGGGGUCUGCAAGUCCCG